CUUUGUACCAUGCAGCCACUGGCUCCAAAGGGACCUUCUACCAGGGAAUUUGAUUACUUGGAUAGAGCCCUUCUGUCGACCACUGACCUCAGGGCUAGCUCCCCAAAACGUCGCCUUCUCUACGCUCGUUUCUGCAAAGUAGCAACAGAACAACUUCCAGUAAAAGAAGGCACUGAGGUUUAAGUGCUACGUGGGAGCAGUUGCCGAUUUUUGCAAUGGGAGGCUGCAUAGAUUCAAGGACUUCCUUGAGUGCUCCAGGAGCUUGUCAUUCCAGAGACAGAGCAGCCCAGAAGUCCUGGGAUUUACACCUCUAGUAGAAACCCUCAACCAGAGAAGGAUGGAAGUCAAUGGGUGACCCUGCAGCCUGUGAGACCAUCUUGGCCCUUGUCAGGGCAGCCAUUUGCCAUUGCAGAUGAAGGGUGGGGGAGAGGCCAGAGACUCCUUCAGACUGUGUUGGAAAUGUCAUGAAAAUGGAAAUUCUCACAACCUGAGAGUCAUAGACCUGGAUUUGGGUUUCUGCUGUGUCAUUAAGUUCUUGCAAACCAG
rnacentral:lncRNA from 10 species